rnacentral:rRNA from 1 species
UGGGGAAUCAUGGUCAAUGGGCGAAAGCCUGAACCUGCGACGCCGCGUGAGUGAUGAAGGUCGUAAGAUCGUAAAACUCUUUUCAGGGAUCUUAAAGCCUGUCUGUCAACAACAGGCAGGUCUGACUCUCCCUGGAAGAAGCCCCAGCCAACUACGUGCCAGCAGCUGCGGUAAUACGUAGGGGGCGAGCGUUAUUCGGAAUUACUGGGUGUAAAGGGUAUGUAGGCGGCCCUUCAAGUCGCGUGUAAAAGGCCAGGGCUCAACGCUGGGUGUGCACGGGAUACUGGCGGGCUUGAGGGCUGGAGAGGUGAGCGGAAUUCCCGGUGUAGUGGUAAAAUACGUAGAGAUCGGGAGGAACACCAGCGGCGCAGGCGGCUCACUAGACAGUUUCUGACGCUAAGAUACGAAAGCGUGGGGAGCAAACA